GAUGAACGCUGGCGGCAUGCCUAACACAUGCAAGUCGGACGGGAAACCCGGGAAACGGUGUUUCUAGUGGCGGACGGGUGAGUAACGCGUAAGAACCUGUCCUUGGGAGGGGAACAACAGGUGGAAACGGCUGCUAAUAUCCCGUAGGCGGAGGAGCAAAAUGAGGAAUCCGCCCGAGGAGGGGCUGGCGUCUGAUUAGCUAGUGGGUGAGUCACUAGCUUACUAAGUCGAGGGACAGUAGCCAGUCCGAGCGGAUGUACGGCCACACUGGGACUGGGACGCGGCGCGGGGUCUUACGGGAGACAGGGGUGAGGAAUUUUCCGCCAUGGGCGAGAGGCUGACGAAGCAAUGCGGGGUGGAAGUAGAAGGCGUUGGGAUAGAGAACUACUAGUUCAGGAGAAGAAGCAAUGACGGUAACUGAAGAAUAAGCAACGGCUAACUCUGUG
rnacentral:rRNA from 1 species